GAAUUAUUUAUUAUUUAUUUUAUUAUUAAUUUAUUUUUUUUUGAUAUUAGGUUAUAAAAAAGUUUUUUUAAUUUAAGUAUAAUAAAGAAUUAAGAAUUAUAAUUAUAGAAUAUUAGUACUGAAUUGGAAUUAAAAAUUUAAAAUGAUGAAAAGAAUAUAAAAGUAUUAGUAUCUUGGGUAUCAGAGUUUAUUAAAUGAUAAUGUUAAAUAAAAUGUUCCCGAAUUUUUGAAGAUCUAUUGAUUUAUUUUAGUUAAUGUGGUAUAAUUAUUAAUAAUUGAUUAAUAGGAAUGAAAUGUUUGUCGUUUAGGAGGAUAUCUGGUUCUUUAAGAAAUUAAUUUAAUUUUAUUUAUAAUUUGUUUAGUAUAUUGUUUUGUUAUGAAUUUAGAAUUUUAGGGAUAAGCUUGGGAUUUAUUAUAAAAUUUAUUUUGUCUUAUUUGAAUAAGUAUAUUUUGUAGUGUUAAUUUUUUGUAUAGUUUUAUAACUGAUUUAUGAUGAUUUGGAUUUACUUAAUAAUUUAUUAGAAAAUUAAAGUUAUUGAUGUAAUUAAGCAUAUUGAUGAAAUUAUGAUAUAAUUAGUAAAGUUUAAUUUAUAUAAUAAUAUGUGAUGAUAAAUUAUAUUAAGGAAUUAGGCAAAGAGAAUAAUUUCGCUUGUUUAUCAAAAACAUGUCUUUAUGAGAAAAGAUAUAAGGUUGAACCUGCCCAAUGAUGUGAAAUUAAAUGGCUGCGGUAUUUUGACCGUGCAAAGGUAGCAUAAUCAUUAGUUCUUUAAUUGUGAACUAGAAUGAAGGGUUUGACGAAAAUUAAUCUGUCUAAAUGAUUAAAUAUUGAAUUUUAUUUUUCAGUUAAAAAGCUGAAAUAAUAUUAUGGGACGAGAAGACCCUAUAGAAUUAUAUAUAACUAUUAUUUAUGAAAUAUUUUGUUAUUAGUAUUUAAAAAUUAUUGGUUAUAAUUUGUUGGGGUGAUGAGAAAAAAGUAAAAACUUUUUUAUAUUGUUGACUUAAAUAAAAGGAAUAAAUAUAUGAUCUUUUAUUAUGGAUUAUUAGAAUAAAUUACCUUAGGGAUAACAGCGUAAUUUUAUUUGAGAGUUCAAAUCGAUGAUAAAGUUUGCGACCUCGAUGUUGGAUUAAGAUUAUUAUUAAAUGUAGUAGUUUAAUUAAUAGGUCUGUUCGACCUUUAAAAUCUUACAUGAUCUGAGUUCAAACCGGUGUGAGCCAGGUUGGUUUCUAUCUUUAAAUUAUUAUUAUAUUUUAGUACGAAAGGACCAUUUAUAAAAUACAUUUAUUUGUUUAAGAAUUUAAUUAAU
rnacentral:rRNA from 1 species